rnacentral:rRNA from 1 species
AUUGAACGCUGGCGGCAUGCCUUACACAUGCAAGUCGAACGCGAAAGGGGGGCAACCCCCAAGUAGAGUGGCGAACGGGUGAGUAACACAUGGGAACGUGCCCAGUAGUGGGGGACAACCUCGAGAAAUCGAGGCUAAUACCGCAUACGACCCACGGGUGAAAGCGGGGGACCGCAAGGCCUCGCGCUAUUGGAGCGGCCGAUGUCCGAUUAGCUAGUUGGCGGGGUAAGAGCCCACUAAGGCGACGAUCGGUAGCUGGUCUGAGAGGACGACCAGCCACACUGGGACUGAGACACGGACCAGCCUCCUACGGAAGGCAGCAGUGGGGAAUUUUGGAGAAUGGGCGCAAGCCUGAUCCAGCCAUGCCGCGUGCGGGAAGAAGGCCUUCGGGUUGUAAACCGCUUUCGGCCGGAACGAAAUCGCCCGGGUGAACAUCCCGGGUGGAUGACGGUACCGGAAGAAGAAGCACCGGCUAACUACGUGCCAGCCGCCGCCGUAAUAC